UACAGAGGCGACAAGCGUUGUUCGGAUUUACUGGGCGUAAAGCGUGCGCAGGCGGCGGGAUGCGUCCAAUGUGAAAUCCCGGGGCUCAGCCCCGGAAGUGCAUUGGAAACCAUCCCGCUAGAGGCCGGGAAGGGAGUCUGGAACACACGGUGUAGCGGUGAAAUGCGUUGAUAUCGUGUGGAACACCGGAAGCGAAGGCGAGACUCUGGAACGGCACUGACGCUCAUGCACGAAAGCGUGGGGAGCAAAC
rnacentral:rRNA from 1 species